rnacentral:rRNA from 1 species
AUUGAACGCUGGCGGCAUGCCUUACACAUGCAAGUCGAACGGCAGCGCGGACUUCGGUCUGGCGGCGAGUGGCGAACGGGUGAGUAAUACAUCGGAACGUACCCUGUUGUGGGGGAUAACUAGUCGAAAGAUUAGCUAAUACCGCAUACGACCUGAGGGUGAAAGUGGGGGACCGCAAGGCCUCACGCAGCAGGAGCGGCCGAUGUCUGAUUAGCUAGUUGGUGGGGUAAAGGCCCACCAAGGCGACGAUCAGUAGCUGGUCUGAGAGGACGAUCAGCCACACUGGGACUGAGACACGGCCCAGACUCCUACGGGAGGCAGCAGUGGGGAAUUUUGGACAAUGGGGGCAACCCUGAUCCAGCAAUGCCGCGUGUGUGAAGAAGGCCUUCGGGUUGUAAAGCACUUUUGUCCGGAAAGAAAUCGCGCUGGUUAAUACCUGGCGUGGAUGACGGUACCGGAAGAAUAAGCACCGGCUAACUACGUGCCAGCCGCCGCAGUAA